rnacentral:rRNA from 1 species
UACGAGGGGGGCGAGCGUUGUUCGGAAUUAUUGGGCGUAAAGGGUGCGUAGGCGGUUCCGCAAGUCCUGUGUGAAAUCUUCGGGCUCAACUCGAAGUCUGCACGGGAAACUGCGGGGCUUGAGUGUGGGAGAGGUGAGUGGAAUUCCCGGUGUAGCGGUGAAAUGCGUAGAUAUCGGGAGGGACACCUGUGGCGAAGGCGGCCAUCUGGGACAACACUGACGCUGAAGCACGAAAGCGUGGGGAGCAAACAGG